rnacentral:rRNA from 1 species
GAUGAACGCUGGCGGCGUGCCUAAUACAUGCAAGUCGAGCGAACAGACGCGGAUCUUGCUCCUCUGACGUUAGCGGCGGACGGGUGAGUCACACGUGGAUCACCUACCUAUAAGACUGGGAUAACUUCGGGAAACCGGAGCUAAUACCGGAUAAUAUAUUGAACCGCAUGGUUCAAUAGUGAGAUACGGUUUUGCUGUCACUUAUAGAUGGAUCCGCGCCGCAUUAGCUAGUUGGUAAGGUAACGGCCUACUAAGGCGACGAUGCGUAGACGACCUGAGAGGGGGAUCGGCCACAUGGGAAGGGAGACACGGUCAAGGCGCCUAAGAUAGGGAGCAGUAGGGAAUCGGACGCAGAGGGCGAAAGCCUGACGGAGCAACGCGGCGUGAGUGGUGAAGGUGCUCGGUGCGGAAAACUGUGUUACUAGGGAUGAACAGCUGUGGACGUAAACGAGCCCGUCGUGACGGUAAUGAAUCAGAAAGCACCGGCUAACUACGUG